UCAGACGUGGCUGCUGAAUGACAGAAAAAAAAACGGCCGCGCUAAUUGUGCAACCAAAAGGGUGUCCCGCUAAUUUUGCAUCCAACACCUGAAGCUUCCCUGUACGGUUGCCCUUGAUCAGAUCGAUCACGCCGAGCUUCCUCCACCACGCCGUCGUGAACCACCGGGCAGCACGCAGAACUUCAGAUCGAUCACGUCGAGCUUUCUCCAUUGAGCCGUCGUGAAUGGCCAAACCGCACACAGAUUGAAAACGCCAAGCUACUGAAGAUCAUUCUAGGGAAGAGAAACAUGUUCAAGUCGAUUGAUCAAACCCAACUUGGCUUUCCUGAUACUUAGCCAUCUGCAUUUGCGGGUAACUAAUCUUAAUAUUCUACAUGGAUUAUUGUGUAGCUUAGUUUUUAUCUUUCAGUACAUACUGCAUCCAUGUCUUUUACGACUUUAUCUGUAGCAGGUAUCUUUUGACUUUGGCAUUAGUUCUAGCAACGUAAAUCAAAUCAUGACAACUCCACUACCUUACAGAACAUUUGUGGAACCAUUUGACUUUGGUGUUAGCAACAUUAAUCCAACCAUGGCAACUGCAUUACCAUAUGGAGGUUCAUUGUCUGUUGUUAUGCCUCGAAUUCUUGGAAAAUAUACAAGCAUGAUGUAUCAAGUUCAGCAAAACUCCGCUCCUCUGUCCAGUUCUUCACAAUUACGCUUUGAUGGAAUUGGAGAGUCCAACAAUACCAUGCAUCGAAGUUAGACAUGAACUUAAUUUAAGGAUGUUGGAUGCAGACCUUUCUUAUAAUCUACAUGUACAUGGAAAUUUUAGUGUAAAAACUUAUAGGCACAGGGUAGUAGAAAGUAAACGUAUUUAUGUUUCUGAAUCUGGAUUCUUCAUGUUGUAUUUGAACUGAUUACAAAAUUAUAUGCAAUUGCAAUUUUCCAAGUA